GUGUUCGAUCAAAAACAUUCGGUUUCGGAAGUGAAUGUAGUGGUGCGUUUGGUUGGUGGAUCUGCACAUCUGUACUGAGGUAGGCUGUGCAGGUAGCCCAGAUGAGAGUACGUCUGAGAUGGAUGAAGGUGAAAGGAUCAGUGAUGAGUCUACCUACAAGACUGUACACAUUUUUUGGUGGAAAAUGUUUGGAAAAGGAGACGGGGGUGGUUUUGCCACAGAUGGGGACAUAGAUGGAAGGGGAGAAUCUAGAAGAACAAACAGGCAGGGAGAAGAGGUACAGGAGAACAAAGUAGUAGUGUUUUUUUAUCUGAGACAACCAGUAAAAUGUUACAUCUGAUAAAGUUGUCAGAUGUACAGUUACUUUCGAAAGUUUUGAGCUUAUGCAGCCACCGUUUGUGGUAGAUGGUGGCAGAUUGUGGUAAAUUGCGUCUUGGCUGACACUUAAAUAACGUGCCAUAGAAUUAUGCGGAACCACGCAAGAUGUGCUGCAGGAUGCCGCAACAUUUAAGCUUAUAGGGUUCCAAAAAAGGACUGCAAAAACAUACGAAAUAGGUUGUUCCAACCUGUAAACGAACAGUAUGCUUUCAGUCGCGUGUACUAGCUCUUCACCUGUCAACCGGAAGUUGAUGAUGUUGCUAUGCAACCUCUUGCUAGAUAGUUAGCAUAACAAAUUACUAGUUAGACAUUUUACGACUUCAGGUGUAUUCUUCAAUUCAAUCUGGAGAACCAGAUGGGCAUGGUUUGCAUAUUUAGGGCUAUUCCAUUGGUUCUACUGUGCUCGGCAAGCUCAAUUAAGUGUAACAAAUACAGAACCCAGGUCUGAUGGCUACCUGUCUUUUGCUCCCCCACCUCCAAGAGUGUUUCUCUAACGGAACGAUGACUGCGCUGGCGAGCUCCCGGUCUGAACCCCGGUCAGCUGACCCUGAGCGACCCCGCCUGUGGUCCCACCUACAGUGAUGAUCGCUUCGCCUGCUUCCACUUCACUGUGAACUCCUGUGGCACCACCAGGAAGGUUAAAGGUUUCCUGCUACUAUGUGGUCAACAUCACUCGCACAUUGGCCUUCCUGACCAGGCCGCUUGACAACGAGCCUUUUGCAGAGACUGGGACGGGUCAACUAAUGUUCAGAAUGAGACUCGUUCAGGACGCCUCGUAUAACACGUUCCACCAGGAGGAGGACUAUCCAGUGGUGAGGUACCUGAGACAGCCUCUGCACUUUGAGGUGGAGCUGACCAGGUCCUCUGACCCCAAGGUAGCGCUGGUGCUUGACCACUGCUGGGCCACCCUCAACGAGGACCGUGACUCCCGACCCCGGUGGAAUCUCAUCAUUAAUGGGUAACAUGUUGUUUUUGGGCCUAAACAAGUGUUAUUCCACAGGUGUGGUUCCUGAGUAAUUAGCAACCUAUCAUGCUUGGCAGGCCAUUUACUUUGGCUACCGUGGCUAUGCCCCCAUCCAUAUGUCAUGAGUGGUCACAAUGGUUUGAGCCAUGUGCGGUCUGUCACCAGAUCUCCACCCAAUAUAACACUUAUGGGAGAGUCUGGCGCGUACGAUCACAUGCUUGUUAUCACUGACUGGUCCCUGCAGCGUACCAUUGGAACAUGUAAAUCUAGUUUAGAAAAUAUGGCAGCCAUGUUUGUCAAGCAAGAACUCCCUAAUCCCAGAAUGCCGUUCACUGUGCCCAUUUCCUGAGGUCUUAACUUAGUUUGGCCACUUCAGCAUGUGACAAAUCUGUGUACUUGUUACGGCGUACACAUGACAAGUAGUUUACAGUUAACUAAUCAAAAAGCCAAUACAACCUUAGCACGAAAGCUAAACAGAGUUGCAAGAUAUAGCUCAAUCCAUUUUGGGAGGUGAAGUCCUUGGGGGAAGGUAUUAUGGAGAGGAUGAUGCAGGAAAUAUUAAUAAGAUGGGGAUUUAUCAACAAUAAAUGGCGGGGCAGACAGUUUUUCUAAGCUAAAUAUCCCUGGAAAGGGGGUCUGAUCUGGCAACCCUGAGGUACCAUAGUUUACACUCUGAUGCCGUGUUCAAAUCAACUAACGAAUUCAGUGCAUUCAAGACAAUGGGGGUACUCCAGUUGAGAUCACCAUUAGUCUGACAGACGCGUACGUGAUAACCUGACUGCAUUGUAUGGCGUUAGCAUUAGCUCAUAUUCAGUACCACCUUCAAAAGUGUUUUACACACGUGUCCAUUACAAUCUAGGCAAGAAUCAGAAAGCAUGAAUAAAAUGCUAAGUACAUUAUACUUACGGUACACUACAGUAGAAACGACAGCACGUUACACAGAAAAUAAGGCACUUUGAUCAGAAUGCACGCAUGUCCACAGUUAUUUGUAAGGAACACAAUAAAUGUUCAAGGACUGUAUACUUGAUCUGUGGAAGUGCUUGGGCUUUCUUUUGAAGGAAAGUUUGUCCGGCUCAUUAAAUUCUCAAAUGGAAAUGAUCUGCAACAGUGAAAUGGGCUACAUUUGUGAAUGAAUGAGGCAAAAUUAGAAGUUGAAACGGCCUAUAGAAAAUUAGCAGGUAGUGUGCCUUGGUCUGAGGUCAGCGCGGGUUAAAUGUCCACAUGUUGGAACGGUGAGUGCAUUCUGACAUCACGCGCAUAAAAUCAACUCCCACUGGGGCGACUGUUGAAGAUAUUUGGAACUCGCGUGUGAAAAGGUUAAUGUUGGCGUUACCUACACCUUUUUACUCAAUGUUAUCCUUUUGGUUGGCUAGAGUUCAGUGUUGUGCCAAACUGAUGGUCAGUCAAAUGGAAAUCAAGAGUGGCUGGCAAGCUUGGCUUGCCUUUCCGAUUGGUUUCAAACAACUGCUCUUAACACUGACUGAAUAGUUGUUGGUUUUUUGUUGAAUUCAGGCACAAGUGACUGUCCUAGAGGAAUGCGCUAAUUGGGAGUUGCUAAACAUGAACAAAUACCACGGUCAAGUGUAGCAGCAUCUUGCUAACCUUAUUUAGCUAGCUAAUGUUCAUGUAAAAUCCCUUUUGCCUGAUACCCCCCCCCCCAAAAAAAAUCCCCCUAUUCUUCGUUAACAUUUCCCCCGUCGACCGUUUGUCUCUGCUUCUGCAGGUUUUCGCUCUCAAAAGUACACCUUUUUAAUAGAAAUAUAACACGAUUAGAUGUUCUAUGUCCAUGACAAUGUUUAAAACCCUAGCAGGGAACCACUUUUGAGGUCUGGGAAAAACGGAAGACAUGUCGAUUUUGGGGUGUUGUUACCCUUUAUAAAGGCAAGUGUGCGCCAGGAAGAGACCUUUAUUUGGUUAAGCGGUGUUGCUGUAGCGCUCAUGGCACCAAACAGAUGGAAGGAAACUGAAUCAGGUACGGAAUAUUUGGACUCAUUUAGAUUUGUAAUGUAAUUAAAUUUUUACCCCAAUUUCGUGGUAUCCAAUAGGUAGUUACAAUCUUUGCCCAUCGCUGCAACUCCCGUAAAGACUCUGGAGAG